rnacentral:rRNA from 1 species
AUUGAACGCUGGCGGCAUGCUUUACACAUGCAAGUCGAACGGCAGCACGGGUGCUUCUGCACCUGGUGGCGAGUGGCGAACGGGUGAGUAAUGCAUCGGAACGUACCCAGUCGUGGGGGAUAACGUAGUCGAAAGAUUAUGCUAAUACCGCAUACGUCCUGAGGGAGAAAGCGGGGGAUCGCAAGACCUCGCGCGAUUGGAGCGGCCGAUGUCGGAUUAGCUAGUUGGUGGGGUAAAGGCUCACCAAGGCGACGAUCCGUAGCUGGUCUGAGAGGACGAUCCAGCCACACUGGAACUGAGACACGGUCCAGACUCCUACGGGAGGCAGCAGUGGGGAAUUUUGGACAAUGGGGGCAACCCUGAUCCAGCCAUGCCGCGUGCGGGAAGAAGGCCUUCGGGUUGUAAACCGCUUUCGGACGGAAAGAAAUCGCGCAGGCUAAUAUCCUGUGCUGGAUGACGGUACCGUAAGAAGAAGCACCGGCUAACUACGUGCCAGCAGCCGCGGUAAUACGUAGGGUGCGAGCGUUAAUCGGAAUUACUGGGCGUAAAGCGUGCGCAGGCGGAUAUCUUAAGUCAGACGUGAAAUCCCCGGGCUUAACCUGGGAAUUGCGUUUGAAACUGGGAUAUCUAGAGUGCGUCAGAGGGGGGUGGAAUUCCACGUGUAGCAGUGAAAUGCGUAGAGAUGUGGAGGAACACCGAUGGCGAAGGCAGCCCCCUGGGAUGACACUGACGCUCAUGCACGAAAGCGUGGGGAGCAAACAGGAUUAGAUACCCUGGUAGUCCACGCCCUAAACGAUGUCAACUAGCUGUUGGG